rfam:Endozoicomonas sp. S-B4-1T isolate SB41TT1 genome assembly, contig: SB41TT_contig_8
CUUGACGGCAAAAGAGCUUUGGAACCACCUGAUUCCAUCCCGAACUCAGCAGUGAAACGAGGCAUCGCCGAUGGUAGUGUGGGGUCUCCCCAUGUGAGAGUAGGUCACCGUCAAGC